ACGGCUCAGUAACACGUGGACAACCUACCCUAAGGAGGGGGAUAACCCCGGGAAACUGGGGAUAAUACCCCAUAGACUAGAGAAGCUGGAAUGCUCUCAAGUCCAAAGGUCCGCCGCCUUAGGAUGGGUCUGCGGUCGAUUAGGUUGUUGUUGGGGUAACGGCCCAACAAGCCCGUGAUCGAUACGGGUUGUGAGAGCAAGAGCCCGGAGAUGGAUUCUGAGACACGAAUCCAGGCCCUACGGGGCGCAGCAGGCGCGAAAACUUUACAAUGCGGGAAACCGUGAUAAGGGAACCCCGAGUGCCCGUAAAUUCGGGCUGUCCAUCAGCGUAAAUAACUGGUGAAGAAAGGGCCGGGCAAGACCGGUGCCAGCCGCCGCGGUAAUACCGGCGGCUCGAGUGGUGGCCACUAUUAUUGGGCUUAAAGCGUCCGUAGCUUGGUUGUUAAGUCUCUUGGGAAAUCUACCGGCUCAACCGGUAGGCGUUCAGGAGAUACUGGCAAUCUAGGGACCGGGAGAGGUGAGAGGUACUCCAGGGGUAGGAGUGAAAUCCUGUAAUCCUUGGGGGACCACCUGUGGCGAAGGCGUCUCACUAGAACGGCUCCGACAGUGAGGGACGAAAGCUGGGGGAGCAAACCGGAUUAGAUACCCGGGUAGUCCCAGCUGUAAACGAUGCGCGUUAGGUGUAUCGGUGACCACGAGUCACCGAGGUGCCGAAGGGAAACCGUGAAACGUGCCGCCUGGGAAGUACGGUCGCAAGGCUGAAACUUAAAGGAAUUGGCGGGGGAGCAC
rnacentral:rRNA from 5 species